rnacentral:rRNA from 1 species
CGCCUACAUGAAGCUGGAAUUGCUAGUAAUGGCAGGUCAGCAUACUGCCGUGAAUACGUUCCCGGGCCUUGUACACACCGCCCGUCACACCAUGAGAGUUGGGGAUACCCGAAGCCUGUGAGCCAACUGUAAAGAGGCAGCAGUCGAAGGUAGAAUCAAUGAUUGGGGUGAAGUCGUAACAAGGUAGC